rnacentral:lncRNA from 1 species
AAUGUGGUGAUGACUUCUCAAACAAAUUGUGCUUGAAUUAAACCCUCUAAAAAGAGGAACUUCCUAAGUGAAGUAAACAAGUUGUAGCACUACUUAGGGUGAUCAUAGAAACUUGGAGGAAAGGAUACCCCCUCACGGACUUCCAAUGUGAAAUGAUAGCCCCUAGGCAUCUACAAGCCCCCAAAUGUAUAAAUUCAUCAAGUCUAUCUUAACUCUCCCACUUCUCUUAUAUGAAAUGAAGAAAAGAUUUUUCUCGGUCAUUUUAGUGUU